rnacentral:lncRNA from 1 species
GGGGAGGAAAAACCCAAUCCUCAUUUUGAAUUAGAAAGAAGAAAAGCUUACCACUUCAAGCAAGACAACAAUUCAAAUAUUAGAAGAGUUACUAUUUGAAGAGUAAUAAGCAUUGGACCUGCAGUUCCUUAGUUUGUAGCUGCAAAGUGCCUUACACCAGGAUUUUCCAGGAGUCCUUAUCUCUGAAGAUACAAAGGGGUUACAACUGGUAACAAAAAAGGAGAAAUAGUGGUAUUUUAAGAUCAUAAGGAGCUGGAAUAGAUGAGCUUGUAUCUUUCUGCUGAAGCCAUUUUACUCCAAGGAAGAAGUAAUUUUAUUUUCUUUGCUUAAAAAUUGUUGCUGUUCACUGUUUGUGCUGCUUGCAUAUUCAGACCCGAAGGAAGCUUUGUAAGUCACACUGCUUUAAAAAAAAAAAAAAAAAAUUGAGCUUUGACAUAAACUACCAAAGUGCUUUCAUUACUAGCAACAAUCUUUUCCUGUGGGUGCUGAAAACUGGGAAGCACUGAACAUCUAUUGUAUUUGGCGUAUUUGUCUUUUUUACCUUUAAGUACAUCAACAGGCACUAGCCCUUUGGUAUCUCACCACCACAAUGGAAGAAGUCUGGGUUGUGUAUCUGUGCCUGAUCUUGCUUAUCGUGGUGCUUUUUCUAAUGAAGCAUAACCCACAUUUGGAAGAGGCCAAGAAGGACAGGGAAAGCAAAAGCCCCCCACCAUCCUCUUCCUUUUCUCCCAGUACUGUUGGCAAACAGCUGGAGCACACCCAGGAAGAGCUGGAGCACUAUCUGGAGAGGCUAACCCAUGUCUUGUUUGACUCGGAAGCUAGGAAAAGGGAUGGCCACCAUGAUCAGAAGUCCCACCACCAACAGCACAGAACCACUGAUGUUACGUCUGAAACUAAAGAGCCUUCAGGGAAGGAGGCGACAUAUUCUCAGUAUCUGUCAAGCCACACCAGGGUUCAGGAAAAAACCACUAAUCCUGGAAGCACUGAGAAUAUUGAGGAAGAGAUUGGUGAGUUGGGCUAA